AUACGGAGGGUGCGAGCGUUAAUCGGAAUUACUGGGCGUAAAGCGUGCGUAGGCGGUUUGCUAAGUCAGAUGUGAAAGCCCCGGGCUUAACCUGGGAACUGCAUUUGAUACUGGCAGACUAGAGUAUGAUAGAGGGGGGUAGAAUUCCUGGUGUAGCGGUGAAAUGCGUAGAUAUCAGGAGGAAUACCAGUGGCGAAGGCGGCCCCCUGGAUCAAUACUGACGCUGAGGUACGAAAGCGUGGGGAGCGAACAGGAUUAGAAACCCCUGUAGUCC
rnacentral:rRNA from 1 species